UAUCCCCCAAACCAAGGGGGGAUGAGAACCACCGACCGGGGUUCGACACAAAAACGCCGGGAGCGUUUUUGAACAGAGCUUGCUCUGGCCCCGAAGGGGCGAGCAAAGCGAGUCAAUCCCCCCCUCACCGCCA
rnacentral:sRNA from 1 species